rnacentral:lncRNA from 1 species
UCUAAUUUAAAUGCCAAAUUAGAGUUUUGACCCCAAUUUUACGGUUCACUGAACAUAGAAAAUGAUAGUGCAAAUUUCAGGUUAAAGUUUUUGGCUUCAGGUUAAAGUUUUUGGUCAAGGUAGUUUUUGAUGAAGUUGAAGUCCAAUCAACUUGAAACUUAGUAUACAUGUGCCCUAUGAUAUGAUCUUUCUAAUUUAAAUGCCAAAUUAGAGUUUUGACCCCAAUUUUACGGUUCACUGAACAUAGAAAAUGAUAGUGCAAAUUUCAGGUUAAAGUUUUUGGUCAAGGUAGUUUUUGAUAAAGUAGAAGUCCAAUCAACUUGAAACUUAGUAUACAUGUUCCUUUGAUAAGAUCAUUCUAAUUUUAAUGCCAAAUUAGAGAAUUUAUUCCAAUUUCACAGUCCUUUAAACAUAGAAAAUGAUAGUGUGAGUGGGGC